rnacentral:rRNA from 1 species
AGAUGUGUAUAAGAGACAGCUAUAAGACUGGGAUAACUUCGGGAAACCGGAGCUAAUACCGGAUAAUAUUUUGAACCGCAUGGUUCAAAAGUGAAAGACGGUCUUGCUGUCACUUAUAGAUGGAUCCGCGCUGCAUUAGCUAGUUGGUAAGGUAACGGCUUACCAAGGCAACGAUGCAUAGCCGACCUGAGAGGGUGAUCGGCCACACUGGAACUGAGACACGGUCCAGACUCCUACGGGAGGCAGCAGUAGGGAAUCUUCCGCAAUGGGCGAAAGCCUGACGGAGCAACGCCGCGUGAGUGAUGAAGGUCUUCGGAUCGUAAAACUCUGUUAUUAGGGAAGAACAUAUGUGUAAGUAACUGUGCACAUCUUGACGGUACCUAAUCAGAAAGCCACGGCUAACUACGUGCCAGCAGCCGCGGUAAUACGUAGGUGGCAAGCGUUAUCCGGAAUUAUUGGGCGUAAAGCGCGCGUAGGCGGUUUUUUAAGUCUGAUGUGAAAGCCCACGGCUCAACCGUGGAGGGUCAUUGGAAACUGGAAAACUUGAGUGCAGAAGAGGAAAGUGGAAUUCCAUGUGUAGCGGUGAAAUGCGCAGAGAUAUGGAGGAACACCAGUGGCGAAGGCGACUUUCUGGUCUGUAACUGACGCUGAUGUGCGAAAGCGUGGGGAUCAAACAGGAUUAGAUACCCUGGUAGUCCACGCCGUAAACGAUGAGUGCUAAGUGUUAGGGGGUUUCCGCCCCUUAGUGCUGCAGCUAACGCAUUAAGCACUCCGCCUGGGGAGUACGACCGCAAGGUUGAAACUCAAAGGAAUUGACGGGGACCCGCACAAGCGGUGGAGCAUGUGGUUUAAUUCGAAGCAACGCGAAGAACCUUACCAAAUCUUGACAUCCUUUGACAACUCUAGAGAUAGAGCCUUCCCCUUCGGGGGACAAAGUGACAGGUGGUGCAUGGUUGUCGUCAGCUCGUGUCGUGAGAUGUUGGGUUAAGUCCCGCAACGAGCGCAACCCUUAAGCUUAGUUGCCAUCAUUAAGUUGGGCACUCUAAGUUGACUGCCGGUGACAAACCGGAGGAAGGUGGGGAUGACGUCAAAUCAUCAUGCCCCUUAUGAUUUGGGCUACACACGUGCUACAAUGGACAAUACAAAGGGCAGCGAAACCGCGAGGUCAAGCAAAUCCCAUAAAGUUGUUCUCAGUUCGGAUUGUAGUCUGCAACUCGACUACAUGAAGCUGGAAUCGCUAGUAAUCGUAGAUCAGCAUGCUACGGUGAAUACGUUCCCGGGUCUUGUACACACCGCCCGUCACACCACGAGAGUUUGUAACACCCGAAGCCGGUGGAGUAACCUUUUAGGAGCUAGCCGUCGAAGGUGGGACAAAUGAUUGGGGUGAAGUCGUAACAAGGUAGCCGUAUCGGAAGGUGCGGCUGGAUCACCUCCUUU